rnacentral:lncRNA from 1 species
GGGUAAAAUUUGUGCUAAGUGCAAUUUCUACAACCUUGAGGACAAGGUUGGUUUUAAAGGGAAAGGUAUUGUAAUGAACCCACCAUAUUGGAUAGGCCCAAAUAGGAGUUAGUCAACUUAAGCCCAAAUAAUGAGACUAUGUGGGGACAUGAGUUACUAUUAAUAGGGUAGUAGGGGUAUUUUGUGAGUUAUGUGAUUGGUGAAGUUGUUAUUCUUCUCUCCCAAACUCUCUUUUCACAUCUCAAAUUCCUUUUGUAUUGCAACUAUUUGAUCUAAAUUCAAUAAGAAUGAUUCCUAUCUUAGCUUUAUUUCCUAUUCAAUUUUAGUAUCAUUUCAGUAUAUGAANN